ensembl:lncRNA
AUGGAGAACAGGCAGACGCCGCCAAGUAAUGAAAACGAAGCAUGACCAAAGAGCUGCAAGUUUUUAUGUUUUUUUUUUUUAGUUCUUUCAAUGUAAAGGAACAGUUUGCAAUUUUACAAAUGCACAGGGCGUGAGUCGAUGCCAUGAUUGUCCUUAUAGUUCGUAGAAGGAGAAGGAGUUGGCAGUUUGACUGAUCAGUUUUGUGUGUGCCUGCGCCCCUGCCUGCUACAGCACAGGCGUGAAGAUUUCCUGGUCGGGUCUCCACGGAAGGCCCCCCCCAAGGACCCUGGACCUAGGCCUGAAUCCUGCCCUCCCCCAGCUAUCCCACACAGGGAAGCAUAGCUGCCCACCACCAAUUGCACCUGCCUUUAACACCCUCAUCCAAGCCAUCCCGAUAUCCUGUCAGUUCCAACUUUGAAAUGCGGCUGGGUGUAGUAGCGCUCGCCUUUCAUCCCAGCACCAGGUGGAUCUCUACUCUGAGCCUUGGUCAAGACACCAACGGAAGACAGAAGAUUGGUCCUAGCAGGAGCGUGGGAAAGCCCAAAGCAGCCACACCACCACCAAGUCUCACCCCAGCUUGGGUGGCAAUUUCUCCCAGCUGCAUCGGCAGAGUUCUCCCUUCAGUUAACCCUCCGUAUGCCCCGAUGUCUCCUUAGACCAUGAGGCCGUGCCAGCAUGGGUAAAGUCUCAGGACUAGGACUUAAACCCAGGACCUCACACAUACUAAGCACACAUUCUGUAUCUUAGCCCCCCCCCCUUUUUUUUGUUGUUUUUUGAGGCGGGGUUUCUCUGUGCCUUUGGAGGCUGUCCUGGAACUCGCUCUGUAGACCAGGCUGGCCUCGAACUCACAGAUAUCCGCCUGCCUCUGCCUCGAGUGCUGGGAUUAAAGGUGUGCACCACCACCGCCUGGCUGUGCUUGGUUUUUGAGUCAAGGUCUUUCACUGAAACUGCAGCUCACUGACCUGCUGGACCAGCAGGCUAGUGAGCUCCAGGGAGCUUCCUGUCUGAUGGGGGUUGUCCUUCUGCAUAUAUUGUUUCUCUUAUUGGUUAAUGAGUAAAACACUGUUUGGCCAAUGAGGCAGGAAGAUAGGUGGGGCUGGGAGACAAGGAGACUUCUGGGAAAGGUAAGCUGAGAGGGCCCAGCAGAAGAGUCGUUAUGCAGAGCCCAGGAACAGAGGCUGCUCCAGGCAUUCUCUGGGGCUGACAACAUCCCGCAAGAACUGACUGAGGAAACCCAAGAGAGCAGCCAGCUGGAGUUCCCGGUGAGUCUCCAGUGCAGGAGAGCGGUCCCUUCAGUGAACAGUGAGCUGCAGAAAAGCGUCCUCCUCAGAUGGGGUGCUGACAACCACCUCGCAGACACUGACUGCGUUAGCAGGUGCUGGCCGCAGGAGUUGCUGCCUGAGCCUUCUCUUCAUGGAUGAGAGUCCCAUGAGAUCUGCAGUAAUUAACGAUGCUUUAACCAUGGGAGGAAACUAAAUCAGGGUUUGUUUAAAACUAUUGUAUUUUUGUGUGAGUUUCUCUAAACGUCACACUGAAAUUCUAAGAUUGAUGAAGCCACCAUCACGCUGGGCACUGAACAGCCAAAGCCUGGAGGUCUACACUAAUGAGGAUGAAAGAAACAAAAAAGACAGCCAAUAUUCUGGCCCUUGCCCUCGAAAGUCAGCCACACCCCAGGAGAUUUACCCCUCUGGUAAAUCACACCUUCCCUUGAUCAGAGCGGCCAUGGUGUCUGUGGAGACUGGACUCUGCCCGGAACACAUCCUUCAAGAAGGAGGGCCAAUGAAGAGGGACAUUCCUUAUGCUUCCAAAGGAAGCCACAUUGUCAGAGGGGCCCUGGCCUAUCCCUGCAGAUGGUAUAACGGAUAGAUGAAAACCUCUUCUUGAGACUCUGAGGGGAAGCUGUUAGGUUGUCUUUAAAAAGAAAAAAAAAAAAAGGUUAAUCUUUUAUGUAGUCUCAAACACCAAAAAGGAAAAUACAGCCAAAGCAAUUCUAAAAGCAUAAGCAAUUAAAAAGAGACAACUCGUCAAAUUCCAUAACAUCACCCACUGGUUCACCUCUCCAAGAUUAAGCCCUAUUUUCCAGAAAAUGAAAAGCAAGAGAAAUUCCCAGAAUAGCGAAUCAAUUGAGAACAUACACUUUAUUUUCAGAAGGGACCCCAAAGGAACUUAGACAAAUGCUAGCGCAUGCCAGGCAGGCUCUCUUGAGCUCCUCUGCCCCCUUAAAUGAAUACCCAGAUCUGCCUCUUGAAGAAUUUUGAAAAACUGUUAUUCAACAAAGACAGUGGCCCAUCCUUCCCAGCCUGGACCUUGAGACAUGUUCUAUGGAGACUGCAUCUCCCUGCUUCAAUUUACUCUGAGUCCUUAUUUACUAGUCACCCGUGCCUUCCACAUUCCGGGACGUACAACUUCUAAUAAGGCUGCCUGAGGGAUGCCAAUCCCUGACCACCAUGACUUCCUUCUACCGAGGGCUGCUGUAUGAACCAAAAUAAUGCCACAAAUGUCUCUCUCUCUGAACCUAGGGGAGAGACCCAUCAGCCCUUUCAUCGAUAUUUCUACCCAGCUCCAGAGCACUGAAGAGCAGUCAUGGCCUAUAGAAUUGGGUUCCAGAUCCUUAAGGAGGGAAUAUUAUGAUUAAAAAAAACCAAAUGCAUACUUUAAAAUAAAUAUGUAAAAAUUUUACAGUUAAACUGAUAAGAAAAAAAAAACUAAAAAAGAUAAGAGAUCUUUCAUCUGGAUAUGAGAUAGCCAAGCUCGCCAGACAAAAGACAUGACUGUAUGAUUAAACAGCAAAGCCUUGCUAGAGCUAUUUUUUUUUAUUGCAUUUGACCCCCAAUGUAUUACACCAGUCCACCUCAGGUGUUAUAAAAUCAUUUAAUAUAUAUAGAAAUUGCCUUUACUACCACAUGAACAAGUUAUGGGCUGAAUAAAAUGGACCGUGUAUUAGCCAAGGGUCAGGUGUUGUUUGGACUCACCGGGGAGCUGGCUCUGAAGCGGGUCUGCUCUCUCCCAUUUCAACCCAAGCCUGUUUGUCUCAAAAUGUCCCCGGAUGACCUCUUGUCCUCCUAAUUCUAUUCAGGGAGGGAGGAGACCACCACAAGAACCCAUGGGAAAAGAUACCAAAACCACGGUGUCUUUGAGAAUAGCUGGGAGAUGAAGCAUUCCCAACAGGGGCCACUAGUGAAAGAACCUACAGAUGCUUAUAUCUGUGGAGAGGACCCAGGGGACCCUCAGCCCGGGGAACUUAAAUGGAUUGACAGCUUCACCUUCCCAGUCAGUUUCUGCCGAACCCUUGUAAACACCUGGCUUGAUGACUUUGUGUAUCUUAGCUCUUUGCCCUUUCUCUUGGAGCCUCACCCAAGGGGACACUGCUCUGCAGGGGACUCUGUCAAUCAGAAGUCGGACGACUACCUUAAUCGGGCUUCCUCCGCUGAUUGCUGCUGGAUGCUUGCAAACCCGGAUUUGAUCGUAAACUCCCGAUUCGACGGUGUUUUCAUAUCUACUGAUGUUUCUCUCUACAUACUCACUGAUGUUUAUUUUUCAGCCUUUGCUUGCUAAAUACUCAACAAACUUGCUCAUUUGAAAUAAAAGCACAACGGUCGUAGGUCAUCCUCUGAACUACACAGAACAGGUUUAACGGAUCACUGAAACUUACCAAGGCUUACAUAGACAAGAUCCUUCACCUAAAAUACAACUGGAAGGAUGUAGGAGAAUCUGUGGCCAGCCUACCCAUGCAGCAGGUGCCCAGGCCAGCAUGUGUGGCAAGUACUUCCUCCCUGAGCCAAGCCUGCCUCUACACCCAGAGACUGCAGACAGAGAGACACCUGACCCAGAGACACCAAUGAGGAAAGGACAUACAGCAGAGUCAGCGCCUGAGCCAAUGGGACCUUGGGAGGGACUAUAAAGGCAGACCUAACUUCCGGAAUAAACGAGUCUACAGCCUGCUCUGCUGCUCACUGACUCCCAGUGUCUGAGUUGUUGGUGCUGCGUCUUCUCACCCCUCCCCCAAGGGUGUCCGAGCAGGGUAACUCACAACAGGAGUGUGGGUCAAUGGUAGAGAACUUGCCCAGCAUGUACAAGGUCCUGUAUUCAAUCACUAGCACCAUAUAAAAGACACACACACACACACACACACACACACACACACACACACACACACACACACGACAGAAUUCAAACCUGCUUGAGUUCUUAGCCACUGUAUUUCAUACAGGUAACAAUCGAGACAUCGUGUUGCUGUUUGGAAACCCCCGACUUCAUGAGUACACGUCUCAGGAAUGAUUGUUGGGUGUGUGCCGGCUCCUGCUCAUUCCAGGAGGUGUGAAGACAGAAAGAGGCAGUCAGGCGGGAAGCUACUGGCUGUCGGAGGUCAGGCGUCACUCUACAGGCUUCCUUCCAAGUACAGAUGGGGAUGAAUAAGCCAGGCAGGACCCGGCUGUUGGGACACCGGAUACUACAGAAGAGGAGUACUUGGGAGCAUCUGGGUGUUAAGGAUGGCUUACACCAGGCAUUCUCCAAUUCCUGUGGCUCAGGUCUGAAGAAAAGGUGGCUAUGUAAGUCAAAAUCUACCAUUGUAAAACCAGGAGAGAGCUUCCCAUAAGGUCAAGGCCAGUGUUUGCCUCCGGCUCAGUGCUGAGUUCGGUCUCAUGAGGACAAGGUGAUGAUCUGGGCGAAAGGUUUGCUUUAUGAAAGGAUUCGCUUUAAAUAGCAGAAGACAACGCCCUCUCCUCACAGGUACACUUUAAAAUCCUCCCUUUUACAGAGCUCGGAGUCAAACCAGGACUUGUUUAUCCAGUCAAAAGCUUGACUCUGUGAAUGAGCCUUGUUGAUCUCUACACAUCUGUUUGGGAACUUUUAGUCUCCCAACCUGACCUGCCAUGGCUGUCUAACAUUCCAGAGGUCCCCAAAGGAGGAGGAAGAACUCAGACGCUAAACUUCGCAGAAAAGCUCAGACAUCUCUGUACCACAAGUGUGCCUGUUGCCCUUGGAAGUCAGAGGAGGAUGCUGGAUGCCCUAGAACUGGAAUUACAGAUGGAUGUGAGCCACCAUGAAAUAUUUGCAUGGCCACCGGUGAGUAGAUGCUGCCAACGGUAUACUGUGUUCCUCAGACAAGCGCCAGGCAAUGGAGACACAACACCCAAGAGGGAAAACCUUCCUGACCAUCCAAUCGAAACCUCAUUUCUCAAAUCUCCUACCUACCAUCCCUUCCCCCAACUCCACCACCCGUUUCUUCAUCUGUAAAAUGGGGAUAGUUAGCACCUGCCUUAUUGGGGAGGUAAAUUUAACAUUAGCAUGCCCCCAACAGUCAAUUAAUUCCUUGAGGAAAGGGGCACCCAGUGUUCUUUAUCAAGGCUUAGAUAGCCUCUUGGUGAAAAGUGUUCAACACACAGCACUCAGGUUGUCAUUACAAAGUAAGUUUAAAGCUGGGCUAUGGUGGUGCACACCUUUAAUUCCAGCACUCAGGGAGGCAGAGGCAGGCGGAUCUCUGUGAGUUUGAGACCAGCCUGGACUACACAAAGAAACCCUGUCUUGUUAAAACAAAAGGAGAAGAGGAGGAGGAGGAG